UACGGAGGGGGCUAGCGUUAUUCGGAAUUACUGGGCGUAAAGCGCACGUAGGCGGCUUUGUAAGUCAGAGGUGAAAGCCUGGAGCUCAACUCCAGAACUGCCUUUGAGACUGCAUCGCUUGAAUCCAGGAGAGGUGAGUGGAAUUCCGAGUGUAGAGGUGAAAUUCGUAGAUAUUCGGAAGAACACCAGUGGCGAAGGCGGCUCACUGGACUGGUAUUGAUGCUGAGGUGCGAAAGCGUGGGGAGCAAACAGG
rnacentral:rRNA from 1 species